rnacentral:rRNA from 1 species
CACACCGCCCGUCACACCACGAGAGUUUGUAACACCCGAAGUCGGUGGGGUAACCUUUAUGGAGCCAGCCGCCGAAGGUGGGAUAGAUGAUUGGGGUGAAGUCGUAACAAGGUAGCCGUAUCGGAAGGUGCGGCUGGAUCACCUCCUUUCUAAGGA